rnacentral:rRNA from 1 species
GAUGAACGCUAGCGGCAGGCUUAAUACAUGCAAGUCGAGGGACAGCACAGGUAGCAAUACUGGGUGGUAACCGGCAAACGGGUGCGGAACACGUACACAACCUUCCUUUAAGUGGGGGAUAGCCCAGAGAAAUUUGGAUUAAUACCCCGUAAUAUAGUUGAAUGGCAUCAUUUGAUUAUUAUAGCUACGGCGCUUAAUGAUGGGUGUGCGACUGAUUAGAUAGUUGGCGGGGUAACGGCCCACCAAGUCUACGAUCAGUAGCUGAUGUGAGAGCAGGCUCAGCCACACGGGCACUGGGACACGAGCCCGACUCCUACGGGAGGCAGCAGUAAGGAAUAUUGGUCAAUGGACGCAAGUCUGAACCAGCCAUGCCGCGUGAAGGAUUAAGGUCCUCUGGAUUGUAAACUUCUUUUAUUUGGGACGAAAAAGGGCCUUUCUAGGUCAACUGACGGUACCAGAUGAAUAAGCACCGGCUAACUCCGUGCCAGCAGCCGCCGUAACAC